AUACUGAAGCAUGAACGGGAUCUGUUCUAUAGGCUCGUACUUCUGUUUCCUUGAUUUCUAAGGAGACAGGAAACCAACCCUGGUGGAUGAACCAUGACCGUUCGAUCAGAGUGUGAUUAAUGGCUAGAUCUUCUUCAGAAGAUUACGGCUGUAGAGGAUCGUUCUCAGCUAGUUCUUCUAGCCGGGGUGGUUGAUCGGUUGUCUGACAAGUU